UACGUAGGGUCCAAGCGUUAUCCGGAAUCACUGGGCGUAAAGCGUGCGUAGGUGGGAGUUUAAGUGAGAUAUUAAAGCGUGUGGCUCAACCAUAUCGUUGUGUCUCAUACUGGACACCUAGAGGACGGCAGAGGCAAGUGGAAUUACUAGUGUAGCAGUGAAAUGCGUAGAUAUCGGAAGGAACACCAGUGGCGAAAGCGGCUUCCUGGUCCAGCACCGACGUUCAGGCACGAAAGCGUGGGGAGCAAACAGG
rnacentral:rRNA from 1 species